AAAGGAAACCAACUCAAUCAUUUUUCCAGUGUUACAUUAGCACCACCUUUAUUAUUGUGAGAUCCUCAUAAUCCUAACAAACAUCUCAAUCUCAUCAAAACAAUACGAAAAACCCUAUCAUAAUCAUUGGUGACGCAAGAAUAAAAUUGAAAAUAAGAGGAAACACAGAUGAAUAGAGCGACAAAAUAAACAUGUUAGAGAUGUGUAACCUUCAAAAUAUCAGCCUAUAUCAGAAAUCACUUGAUUUAUACAUUUGAUAGAUAAUAAAGAAAAUUACUCAUAAAAGAUAGAAAAAAAAGGAAAAUAUGACAAUUUUUACGUAGUACGUAUUUCUUUAGCCUUUGUAUUUUGUUUAUACAAUUAUAAAGUGAUUAUGAACCAGAGAUUUCUAUUAAAUAAUGUAAGCUAAAUAUUUCAAUUAAGUACAUCCUCAAUUAUUUAAAUCAAUCAAACAUGUAAUGAUUAACAAACCUUGACAAAAAUCGUUUAGAAAGAUAUGUAUUGAACAUCAAAAUAAAUUAAAUAUAUACUUAUAUCCUAAAGAACACAAAAUGUCAUCUUCUAUAUUCUUAUAAUUAAACAAUUAACAUAAGUUAUACAUAUUAAAAAUAUGCUAAAAUACUAAAUAUAAGUAUAAAAUUAAAGAGAGAAAAAGAAAAUAGAAUAAUUACAUGAAAAUGAAAAACGAAAAAGAAAAUAUAAUAAUUACAAGAAAAUGAAAAUGAGACCGUAUGGUAUAAAGGAAACCAACUCAAUCAUUUUUCCAGUGUUACAUUAGCAUCACCUUUAUUAUUGUGAGAUCCUCAUAAUCCUAACAAACAUCUCAAUCUCAUCAAAACAAUACGAAAAACCCUAUCAUAAUCAUUGGUGAUGCAAGAAUAAAAUUGAAAAUAAGAGGAAACACAGAUGAAUAGAGUGACAAAAUAAACAAGUUAGAGAUGUGUAACCUUCAAAAGAUCAACCUAUAUCAGAAAUCACUUGAUCUGUACAUUUGAUAGAUAAGAAAGAAAAUUACUCAUAAAAGAUAGAAAAAAAAGGAAAAUAUGACAAUUUUUCAGCAGUACGUAUUUUUUUACCCUUUGUAUUUUGUUUAUACAAUCAUAAAGUGAUUAUGAACCAGAGAUUUCUAUUAAAUAAUGCAAGCUAAAUAUUUAUAUUAAGUACAUCCUCAAUUAUAUAAAUCAAUCAAACAUGUAAUGAGUAACAAACCUUGACAUUAAUUAGUUUAGAAAGAUAUGUAUUGAACAUCAAAAUUAAUUAAAUAUAUACUUAUAUCCUAAAGAACAUAAAAUGUCAUCUUCUAUAUUCUGAUAAUUAAACAAUUAACAUAAGUUAUAUAGAUUAAAAAAUAUGCUAAAAUACUAAUUAUAAGUAGAAAAUGAAAAAGAAAAAAAGAAAAAAGAAUAAUUACAAGAAAAUGAAAAAGAAAAAAAGAAAAUAGAAUAAUUACAAGACAAUGAAAAUGAGACCGUAUGUAUUAAAGGAAACCAACCCAAUCAUUUUUCUAGUGUUACAUUAGCACCAACUUUAUUAUUGUGAGAUCCUCAUAAUCCUAACAAACAUCUCAAUCUCAUCAAAACAAUACGAAAAACCCUAUCAUAAUCAUUGGUGAUGCAAGAAUAAAAUUGAAAAUAAGAGGAAACACAGAUGAAUAGAGUGACAAAAUAAACAAGUUAGAGAUGUGUAACCUUCAAAAGAUCAACCUAUAUCAGAAAUCACUUGAUCUGUACAUUUGAUAGAUAAGAAAGAAAAUUACUCAUAAAAGAUAGAAAAAAAAGGAAAAUAUGACAAUUUUUCAGCAGUACGUAUUUUUUUAACCUUUGUAUUUUGUUUAUACAAUCAAAAAGUGAUUAUGAACCAGAAAUUUCUAUUAAAUAUUGUAAGCUAAAUAUUUAUAUUAAGUACAUCCUCAAUUAUAUAAAUCAAUCAAACAUGUAAUGAGUAACAAACCUUGACAUUAAUUAGUUUAGAAAGAUAUGUAUUGAACAUCAAAAUUAAUUAAAUAUAUACUUAUAUCCUAAAGAACAUAAAAUGUCAUCUUCUAUAUUCUGAUAAUUAAA
rnacentral:lncRNA from 1 species